UGGGCACCUCUUGCACUGGGCCGUUUCCCAGCUUCUCGUGCCUGCUCUCCUGCACCUCUGCCGGCUACCGCACUCCCGCCCAUGCGCGGUCUCGCUUGCAGUCUCUGGGCUUCUCCCUGGAAAAGGCAGCGGAUUCCUGCUACACAGCAACCUGCUUGAAAUCGCAUCAGAGAUGAACACCACAUUCAACAUCCGCCUUGCCACAAUGACCCAGUUUCCAUGGCAGAGGUGAUGGGCUAUGAGCUUAUAAGAAAUAAGGCCUGGACCAGGGGGGCCAGCGCUGUGGCGCAGUAGGUUAAUGCCCUGGGCUGAAGCACCAGCAUCCCAUAUGGGCGCCGGUUUGAGACCAGCUGCUCCACUUCUGAUCCCGCUCUCUGCUGUGGCCUGGGAAAGCAGUAGAAGAUGGCCCAAGUCCCUGGGCCCCUGUGCCCACGUGGGAGACCCCGAAGAAGCUCCUGGCUCCUGGCUUUGGAUUGGCACAGCUCCAGCCAUUGUGGCCAUCUGGGAAGUGAACCAGCAGAUGGGAGACCUCUCUCUCUGCCUCUCCUCUCUCUAUGUAAC